UGAGUGGUUACCUUUUUCCUUUUCCCUUGGUCGUUCUCUAUUUUAGGCACUCGUCUCUGCUGCACUUAUCGGCUUUCCCCAACUCAGAGGGACUCCUUCUCUCUAUGUGGUUGUAGGUUUAACCCUCCCCUCACUGUAGUUCAUAUUCGAUGGCGCAUGUUUGAGAGGAGAAGCUGAGGCGGUGGAUCACGAGGUGCAGACCAGGAGAUUAGCUCAAGAAGGUGCGAAUGGGACGCCGGCAAACACCAUUUAUGUCCUUUUAUCCUUUGCUCUUAGCAUUUUCUUCAUCUACUGAAGAUUUUCAUUGUUCUGAAAAUGAAAUUAUUAUCUUUGGGAAAAAAUUUAAUUGUUGUCAAAUUUUUAGAAAAUAAUAUUACACUUUUGU